CAGCACGAUAGGCGACGCCGGACGCAGUUUCCUCUUCUUUUCUUCGCGUCGCCCUGCAACCCCACCCACCGCCGCCGCCACCCAGCACCACAAGCCCGCACGAUCCCUCUCCGCGUCCUUGGUCGCCGACUUCCGAUAAGCUUCGACGCCGCGCUCGCACGAGCUAGCGCAAAGCUCCAGCAUAUUAUCCCCAAUUUCGGAAGUCCGAUCCCCGGUUCGAUCCAGAACACCCUUUUUUUGUAGGGUUUGGUUUUGGCCCGUGGAUCUAGGGUUUGGUGAGCCAAUUUUCCCCGAUUCCCUUCGAUUGCUGGGAUUUGUUGUGCCUGCGCAUCAUGGCCGCGGGGCGCCACGGAGGGUACAGUGGCUACGAGGUGUCGAAGGAGCGGGAGUUCGAUCUGGAGGCUUCUAGAAGGGGCAAGGAUUACCAUCACCGCAACCCUAGCCGACACCGCGACUCAGAUCGUCGUCGUGAUGGCGGCCGGAGCAGGGACCGGGAGCCGUCAAAUGGGCACACCCGCCACCGGUCGCCACAUCUGCCACUGAAGAGCCGGCCGUCAGGGAGGAGGGAGGAGAGGGAACCCGGCGAGGUUUCAAGCGGAAGUGGCUCGGAAGAGUCUCGUGGGUGUCCGCUCAAGGCAAGGGAACCUGGUGUGAAUGGUGUUGCUGGGGUCAGCAGGGAGGGCGGGGUGCCAUCCCCAACUAAGAAGCGAAAAUACUCGCCUAUUAUUUUGGACAGGAAUGGUUCAAAGCCUCGUGUCCAAGAUUUUGCGAGUAGCAUGAAAGAUGUAGGCACUGUGGUUGCCAACCUCCCAGAUGUUGGCAACCCGAGCAGCAUUGAUUUGGAUGCAUCGGUUGAUGUACAAAAUGUUGAAAGAUUACAGGAGCACUGCAAUGAUAGGGUUAUUAUGGAGGAGGAUGAGGAGGAGGAUGCUUAUCCAACAAUGAUAAACAUUAGGACUUCACGAUGGGCAGAUGCUGAUGACGAGGAAGAAAUUGUGUCGAAGAAGAAGAAAAGCGUGUCACCAGAACAAGGGUCCGUGAAAAAGCUUACAAGCCCAGAGCUUGGAAAGUUGAUGAUGGAUAAAGACUCAAACUCCUCAGUGUCGUCUGACUCUGGCGUAGUACAGUUUAGUGCAAACAGGGAUCUUGAAGUAGAUAAGGGUGACUACAUGGAUAUCGAGAAGGAUGCUGGGGAUGAUUCUUCUGCUCUUUGUGGGAUGCACACUGAUUCUGAGAGUCAUCGGUGUAGCUCUAGAACCCCAGAGCCCGCAGGGUCACCGCAUAGGUGCAUUAACAUGCUUCAGGGUUGUAGGGGUGUUGACGAGUUUGAGAGGCUCAACACAAUUAAUGAGGGUACAUACGGUAUUGUAUCUAGGGCAAAGGAUAAGAAAACUGGUGAGAUUGUUGCAUUGAAGAAGGUAAAGAUGGAGAAUGAACGGGAAGGUUUCCCACUGACUUCUCUCAGGGAAAUAAAUAUCCUGCUAUCGUUCCAUCACCCUUCGAUUGUGGAUGUCAAGGAAAUAGUCGUUGGGAGUGGUGACAGCACCUAUAUGGUGAUGGAGUACAUGGAGCACGAUCUCAAGGCUGUCAUGGAGACUAUGAAACAACCAUAUAGUCAAAGCGAGGUCAAAUGUUUGAUGCUUCAGCUGCUAGAAGGUGUGAAGUAUCUUCAUGACAAUUGGGUGAUUCACAGGGAUCUCAAGACGUCUAAUAUUCUCUUGAAUAACCGCGGUGAGUUGAAAAUAUGUGAUUUUGGGCUCUCUCGUCAAUAUGGCAGUCCACUAAAGCCUUACACUCAAUUGGUUGUGACUUUGUGGUACAGGGCUCCAGAACUACUGUUAGGCGCAAAGGAAUAUUCCACUGCUAUUGAUAUGUGGUCGUUGGGUUGUAUUAUGGCAGAACUCCUUUCAAAAAAGCCACUGUUUGAUGGGAAACGUGACAUCGACCAACUUAGUAAGAUAUUUAGAAUGCUUGGUACACCUAACGAGGACCUAUGGCCUGGUUAUUCUAAAUUACCGGGCGCCAGGGCCAAAUUUGCCAAACAACCGUACAAUAGAUUACGGGAAAAGUUUCCAGCUGUAUCUUUCACUGGUGGGCUGACCCUGUCAGAGGCUGGAUUUGACCUGCUAAACAGAAUGCUGACGUAUGACCCUGAAACGCGCAUAUCAGCAGAGGAUGCGUUGAACCAUGAAUGGUUCUGUGAAGUACCAUUGCCUCAGUCAAGGGAUUCUAUGCCAACAUUUCAUUCCCUUAAUGAACAAGACAGGCGCAUGAUGAAACGCAUGAAGAGCCCUGAUCCUCUGGAGGAGCAACGAAUGAAAGAACUGGGGAGCAUACACGACCGUGGAAUUUUUGGCUGAGCCCUGAUCUUUUGGUUUGCUGCAGAUGCCAAUCUUCAAUUAACAUGAACCUAAUGGAAGUGCAUGUGUUCCAAGGUUAGACGUCCACUGGAUAUAUGAAGUACACCGUCUUCUUGGUGUCUGGCGACAGUUGGUGGCCUUCUUUAGCAGGCAUGGAUGCAUAAUCAGAAGGGGAUACGAUUUCUCCUUAUAUUCCGUGCUAGGCACUAUUUCAUUUACAGGGUUAGCUCUUCCCCAACUUCUGGUCACAAUGAACUCUACUUUACUUGGUCACAAUCUAAUCCACUGUGCAUUGUAAGGUGUGCAAAUAUCUCAUACAGCUGCAUCGUAUGGUCUGGCCUAUUCACAGCUAUUGGGUACACCAGUUUCACAUACCGAUCUUCUAGAUGAAUGAAGCGAAGAAGGGGAGUACCUUUUGCUUUUUCGCGAGGAAACUGAUGCAUAGUAAUGCAAAUUGUAAGGUAAUAUGCUGAGGAAUUAAUUUCCCACUGAUGUGUUAUCGUGCUAUAUAAAUUCGACGUAUUUAUCAUUUUUUAUCUCUGUGUUUGUGGAUGUUCUGUGUGAAUGGUCUUGUAAGCUCAGGUGAGCUUUGGCGUUGUUUGGAAAUAUCUAAAAUUGUACAUACAUAUUUUAUGGCUUAUUCUGCUUGAUAUGUUCAUGUUGUCUGUUAUUGUACUAUAUGAAAUUCUAACUUACAUAAUGAAUGCAAACCAAAAAGGACAAAUUAAUACUUAUGAACUUCUUUUGUGCAGUCAAUGCAACUUCCGUCGUAAGAGAACAACUAAUGUCGUCUUAAAAACACAACUAAUUUUAUAUUGCGAAAUGGAGACCCUUCAUUUCUGUUAUUGUUUGCUUUCCUGAAAACAGGAAUUUGAGAGCAAAGUUUGGAAAUUAACUUCCCAUGACCUUUGUUAUCCCAAAUCUAGAUGCUAUUUUGUUCUGCUUUUAUUAUUUUCAGGAUUUUGUUCUUGUUUGGCCUAUCUUGCCUGAUGGAUAAAAAGCCUUUCUUGCAUUGUUGAAUGAUACUAUGUUUUUCACCUAGGCUUUCAUUUUGUGUUGAUUACGUUUUGGGAACCGACACGUUCUACAAAAUGUAAAUGAUUUUCAACAACCGACCUAAAUUUGUGAAAACACAUCAGUGGCCAAUUUUUUAGAAGUUUGAGUAAAAUGCUAUCCUUUUGUGAACUGGAUGGAGCACUAGUUAGUGAAAGUUGUAAAAUGUUUUUGGUUCUUAGGUACCGGUUUGCCCUUCAUGAAAAGUUUAUGCACUCUUACUCAUAUGCCAUUCUUUUAAGUAUUAUUAUUUAUAAGCCAUAGUUUCUAACCCUCUCCGUAUACCCAGCAAUCUGUUAGGACUACCCUUGUAUAUAAAAGGGUUAUCCCUCACAAAUUCCUUGAUGGUAUGCAAGCAAUAAGGCUGAAAACAAUGACAUGCAAGGGAUUGGUUUUAAGAGUAGCAUAUACGGGAGUUCCUUAUAUGAUAAUAUACUUGCAUGCACGUAAGUAUCGUCCGUUUAGUGAGGCAGUCAGUUUUCAUUGUUUCAGUUUCAAGUCAUUUGCUAUGUGCAGGACAUCUGAUGAUAGAAAAGCUAGUCUGAUUGGUGUCCAUGAUUGAAUGUUUGUUUGGACAUAGCAUAUCUUCCUGUGAAAUCAGUUAAUCCAGUUCUCUUACUCAAUUUUAACUUUGAACUAUGAAUUACUUGUAUUGUGUAAGCUGCUUGGAGAGUUGAUUGAACUCACUUAAGUGUUCUGUGACCCGUCUGCAGCUUAAGCUGUGGCUAUCAAGACAGGAAGCUCGAGUGCUGUCAGCUUACCUUUCUUAAUUGACUUUCUUUGUGGAAGGUAUCCAAGCUCUGUUACUCUUGUGAAUCUUAGUUGGUCAGUAUACUAUCCUAUCUUGGUAUGUUUUCUUGCUAGUAGUUUUCCUUGGUAACUGAUUAUCAUUUCCUUGGUUGACAAAUAUAUUAUUUUUAAAUCUGUUCAGAGUUCAGGCGAUCUCAUCAUUUACCUUAAUAUUGCUACAUGAUCCCUUGAAGAGUUGCCUGUUUUCUGGUUCUAUAUUUCCGAAGAUGCACGCCAUUGUCAUGAAAUGCUGCACUUUAUAAUUUGAUUAAAAAUUGUGGAUUCCGUAUGCUUUGCUUACUACAGGAAAACUCACGGGUGCUGGUAAAAACAAGACUAGUUUUCAUUUAAAUAAAUCAUGUUUAGUUUCCGUAAUGUUCUGAUAAUUUACCUACGGAUGCCUUGUAGUUAUCAGUUCAUUUUUAUUUAAUCCCUUAUCCCUGUCAACCAUGUGCCACCACCCACCAGUGGACAUGAUGAUUCUUGGUUGAACAUUUGUUGGAUAAUUCCAGUAGUUAGUUAUUUGCAGUGACCUAUUAAUUGCUCUCUCUCAAGUAGAUAGUACCACCGGUGGAGAAGAGAGCCCUGUUUUUUUAAUAGAUAUGGCCCUUUUGUAUUGAAUUCCUUGCCCCACUUCUGAAUGCAAUGCUUAUCAGCACUAAAAAAGCCAGAACACAGACCCAUACAUUUUGUUCUUUUGGCGAGGGGUAUUCUGUUGUGGUAUUUGGAUUAUUUUUACAGUUUAUACAUCUCUUCAAAUUGCUACAAAUCUGUAACUUAUGUAGUGGUCAGAACUAACCUAGAUAAGGGCGGAGUGAAACAAGUUUUAAGUGCAAAUGAAGUGCUGGCUCGUGCCACAGUUGCGCCUAAUCGGACUGCUUGUUAGCUAUUUCUGUCUUUGCUGCUUGCGACUUGGGCAGCAUGCUGGCUUGUGCCGGUACAGACGGAGAAAGGAAUAGGAGUGAGAUUCGGCCAAGUGGGAUGUUGAUAUGAUGUUUAUGUUUGCAUCGAGACAGCUCUCUCUCAAGUAAAUGGUACUACUGGUGGAGAAGAGAGCCCUGUUUUUAUAGAUAUGACCCUUUUUCAUUGAAAUUCCUUUCCCCACUUCUGAAUGAAAUGCUUAUCAGUAUUAAGCAAAAUCAGAACACAGAUCCAUUUAUUUUGUUCUGUCAUCGAGGGGUAUUUAUAGAGUUCAGAUCUGUCGAAAUUUCUACAAAGAUGGUAACUUAUGUAGUGGCUCUUGCCACUGCUGCGCCUCAUUGGGUGCUACUCGUUAGCUAUUUCUGUCUUUGCUGCCAGCGACUUGGGCGGCCUGCUGACUUGUGCAGGUACUGACAAGGGAAAAGGGAAUGAGUGAGAUUCAGGCAAGUGAGAUGUUGAUGCGAUGCUUGUGUUUGCAUCAGAGACAGAAGUGAGUGCUGGACCGAACUGUUUAUGGGUUCUGACUUGCGUAUCCUUCAUGAAUUCCUACAAAAAAUCAUGUACCAAUCUAUUAUUUUCUAUCCUUGUUUUCUACUCCCUCUGUUCCAAAAUAAGUGUCAUGGAUUUAGUUCAAAUUUGAACCAUGUCAGUUAUUUUGAAACAUAGUAUUUGUAUAAGUUGAUUGUAUUGUGUUAGUUUGGAUAGAAGACAUGUCUGUAUUCCGUGAAUGCAAGAUCAUUCUCAAAGGCAUGCCGGUUUCCAGCACAUCCUCUUGGUCAGCUGUUGCAGACGAAAUGCCUGCAGCAGAGCAUUCGACGAUGAACCUUAUUGUACCUUUUCAAAACAAAUUAGUACAUACGUUUUGAAUAUAAAUGCUAUCUAACAUCGUUAACCAUUUCUCUCUUUUGCUGUCGUUUGUAAGUCAAGUCAAGGGUCAAUUCUGCUAUAGCCUGAGUUUUUGAAUGAAAGUGCUGAAAUUUCGAUCAAAUAAGUUUGGCUUGGAAACCUUGUAAAGCAUGGCAAGGUCUGGUCCAGUAUUUGAUAACCUUCUGCUCAGCUAGACACUUAACUAUGUACUAUCGAAACUGCCUCCUUUCACGCGAACAUUUUGAAUAGAAAUGCUAUCCAGCUUCAAUAGGCAUUUAUUUAUUUUUGUUGUCGUUAGGUCAAGGAUCAAUUGUGCUGUAGCCAGAGUUCUUAAAUGAAGUGUUUAAAGGUUUUGAUCAAAGUUUGGCUCGGAAGCCUUUUAAAGCAUCGCUAAGGUCAGGUCCAGUAUUUGAUCUUGGACUAUCGAGAACUGCCUCCAUUCAUGAUGUAUGUGCAUUUGAUUUUGACAGUAAAUAUCUUGAUUCCUACUCAAUAAUUCAAGAUAUCACCUGAGCCUGCCCCCGAUGCAAUUUUUAUUGCAUGUUUUGCAGGUUCACGUUUGGGAAUUAAAGUGUAUUAAUCAUUAUUCUGUGUGGAUUAUGGUUUGUUAGUAGUGUUAACAUAUGAUCUUAGUAGUGUUAAUAUAUGAGUAGUAAGGUGGAGAAGUGCUCUUUUAUUACUAGCUUGUAUUGUAUUUUUGGUUGCACCACCUGUGCCAGCUUGUCUCCAACUGGAUUAGCCUGUCCUAACCCAUCAUACACUAAUGUCUGCAUAUGAAGGAUAAAAUCACCUAGGUAACUAAAUAUGAGACUUUGUUUAGUUCAAUUUGAACUGCAAAAACGUCUUGUGUUUAGUUGCAGCGGUAGCACUAACUUGUACUCUCCAGUUUAUUUUAUGUAUAUGCCCUUCCUAACCCUGUGUACAGCAACGAUGGAACUUGAAUUAGCAUUGCGGAGGCAAAGAAGCUUCUUUGGUCUCUCUGGCUUCUGACCAUUUGUGUUCUAUCAGACUGAAAAAACCCUAAGGUGUUGCAAGAGUGCCUGCUGAUGUAUUACUCCCUCCGUCCCAAAAUAACUGCCUCAACCUUAGUACCUUAGUACAACUUUGCAGUAAAGUUAAUACAAAGUUGAGACACUUAUUUUGGGAUGGAGGGAGUAUUUCUUUUACCUCUUAGGGUUAUGGCUGUAUCUAUCUAAAUUUGGUAAAGUGAUGUAGUAUCAAGAUGAGUACAACUUGUUUUCUUUUUCCUGUAAUGUGGUAACAAUGAAUAGUCCCUGACAGUUUUGCUGUCUGAGAUUUCUGGAUAAUGUGCAAGCUGAUUCACCUGAAACUAUGUCGUCAUGAGAUAAAGCGAUAAUUUGUUUGUAGCGGGCUUUGCUAGCGACAGUGAACUGUAAAAAUGUUGAUUUAAACUUGUUUGUCGCGGGCUUUGCUAGAAACAGUGAACUGUAAA